AGAAACAGAGUAAAAC
rnacentral:sRNA from 1 species